AGGGGAUACGUUAGAUUGGCUUACGUGGAAUGGGCUGGGGAGCCCAGCAAUGGCUGUCUGACCUCUAGAGAGGCCGAGAAUGCUACAAUCAGCUCAGUCCGUGGGACUGGAUGCCUCAAUAGGCCUAGGCUGGCACUGAAGGCUGGAGAUUCUAGGAGAGCAGUGGGUCUCAGUUUACAUUGGAAGGCUGAUGAAGCUGGGUUCUGACCGCUGCCACGAUAGCUGAGAGCAAGCAGGAGCAGUGACGUGAACCAGAGAGACUCUUAUCAGCAGGAAAGGAAGGCAGGUGAGCUUCCUUCUUUCUAUCUGGGCAGCUGCUGGAAGGUGCCACCCACUGUGGGAGGGUCUUCCUGCCCCAGUUAGUCCUUCCUGGAAAUCCCCUCACAGACACUCCUCCCCAUACCUUGCACGUCCCUUAAUUUCAGAUCCAAUCCAGUUGACGACCAAGACUAACCAUCGCAUGUGUGGACUGAGAUCAUCAUAUGUGGAUAGCUACUGAAGGGACCUUCCAUCCAGAAGGACCCACACCUACCACAGUGCCCUGCUGCCUUCCAGACUAUCUGUUAGACCUUGGUCAUCUCUGGUCAUUUGUCAGGCCUGGCCAAUCCACUCCAGAAUAGUGUGUGUUCACCAACAGUGUGUUAUCUCCAGGGACCCAACCAAGGGAGCCGACUGGUGCAUUCUGGCAUUCUGUGGACAGCCCAACGCCAACUUCACCCGGCUGGGUGAUAUUGGCCUCCUUACAUGCUGCCUUGGCUGGAAACCAGGCAGGGGAAUGAGCAGUGGGCAGAGGGCCUCCACAGCCCUUCUCCCACUCCCCACCCUCCCCUUUCCAUGCUUCCUUUGUGGACAGAGGCCACUGAGUGCUUGUUGUUCACGGUAAGCAUCCCUUUUAGGGAGUCCUGAGCAAUAUUUUUUCCUACCUUCAAAAUUCUCUCUGGCAACACCCUUCUUCCUGUCAUAAUGGCUCCCUAUGGUCCAAACAGCACGUGUACCACCCUGAGUAGUACUUAAGGCCAAGAAUCAUGUCUCAUAUAUUUUUGUGUCUCCCGCCUUUAAAUUGCAGCAGGGUUCUGGGUAAUGGCUGUCCCAUGAAUGUUGUCUAGAUCAGAGUAAGACCUUUCUAUCUUGUCCAGCCUGCUGCUAAAUGUCUUGCUGGAUUUUAAACUGCUGCUGGACACCUCACUGAUACUAGAUGUCAAGACACCCGGUGCUGAAUGCUGAGGAGAGGCGACAGUACUUGAGAGCCAUCAUUAGCCCUGGGUGUGUCCAAGUUCUGUCUCCACGUGGAAUGAGUGGAGGCAGUGUUCUGGAAGGAGCUGCUUCUAGCAGGCAGAGAUGGAUAUGUGCUGCUGUUCCGUGAUCUCAGAACUUUAGAAGCCAGGCCCCCAUGUGAGCUUCCAGGAUGAUGGUGCCAAGGACGCCAGUCAUCAGAGUGGCUGGGAAUGGAACAGUAUCCCGGAAAGUCUCAGAGAAGCCCUGCAUGAGCACAGAACUGUGGGAUGGCAGAGCAAGUGGGUUACCCAAAAAUAGCAGCACUGCUUUCCCGUGGUGAAGGAUUAGUUCUCUGGCAUCCAUUGUGGGACACUUAGUGCAAGAUUGCAUAUCUAUGGAAAGGCAGGGGAAAGGGUCAAAGCGUCCACCCAGAAACGGACAUCAGCGGCCUCUUCCAAGAGCAGCCAAACAGGUAAGAGAGCAAGAAACCCUGAUUCAGAGGCCUGGGCUGGUAGUGGCAGGGCCUGGAAGCAUCCUUGGUGCCUGCUUUCAGCAGCACAUGGUGGUGGGCAGACUCUGACCUAACCACCAUAGGGGCUUCCACUGAGAAGUGUGUGUGUGUGUGGUGCCUGUGUGCGCACAUGCGUGUGCAUGUGUGUACAGAUGUG
ensembl:lncRNA